rnacentral:rRNA from 1 species
AACGCUGGCGGCGUGCCUAACACAUGCAAGUCGAACGAGAAAGGGGACUUCGGUCCCUCGAGUACAGUGGACGCACGGGUGAGUAACACGUGACUUAUCUACCCUCGAGUGGGGAAUAACUUCGGGAAACCGAGGCUAAUACCGCAUAAUACCCACGGGUCAAAGGAGCAAUUCGCUUGAGGAGGAGGUCGCGGCCGAUUAGUUAGUUGGCGGGGUAAUGGCCCCACCCAAGACGGUGAUCGGUAUCCGGCCUGAGAGGGCGCACGGACACACUGGAACUGAAACACGGUCCAGACUCCUACGGGAGGCAGCAGUGGGGAAUUUUGCGCAAUGGGGGAAACCCUGACGCAGCAACGCCGCGUGGAGGAUGAAGUCUCUUGGGACGUAAACUCCUUUCGAUCGGGACGAUUAUGACGGUACCGGAAGAAGAAGCCCCGGCUAACUUCGUG